rnacentral:lncRNA from 1 species
GGUCAACAAUAUAUCAUAAAUUUAAUCACUAUAAAAAUUAAACAAAUAGAUAAGCAAAGAAAAAAGGAAUAAAAAAUACAACGCAUAUAAACAAAGACAAAAGACAACAAAACAAAAAUAACCCAUAUCACAAUAACAAGAUGAUGGGAUGCAACGUACCGAGUCACAUUUCAAGGUGAUAUUACCAGAAAUAGACUAAACAGAAUAAGUAAUAAUUGACAAGGACAUGAGGGCGACUCUUUGAUUCAAUGAAAUCGGCACAUCACUAAACUUGAUUCUUAAUUCGUAACUUCAAAUAGCGUUACUUUGAAUUUUCAGUAACCGUGAAUAGAUAUUCUUCAAUAUGUUAGUCGUCAUUUUUUUCUACAUUUCUGAUAUAUUUUGUGUAUUUCUAUACUAUAUUGUCUUAGGUAAAGACAGUAUUGGCGCUCACCAGCUUAAACAACCGCUCCGUGUUAUUUAAGUGAUUGUCCGUAGCCAAAAGCCCACAUCAGUGUGUCCUUG